GUGAGAAGAGCCCCUGUUUAGAGCCCUGCUAUGGAACACACUGGCCCCAAUGGCAUUCAUUUAUUCAAGCAGACAUUUAUUCAUUCAAUUAACAUUUACUGUGUGUCUGUUAUGUGCCAGACACUAUGCUAGAUGGUGAGGAUAUAAAGUUGAAUGAAUAGACUCUUUUCCUUGAAUUGCUUACAGCCUACUGGAGGAGAAAAAUACGUGUACUCAGAUCCACCCACAGAAUGACAGGAGGUUAAAGAUAAAAAGUUUACUAGAGUAUGUGAGGAACCAGAGAUCAAAUUGCCAACAUCCGCAGGAUCAUGGAAAAAGCAAGAGAGUUCCAGAAAACAUCUAUUUCUGCUUUAUUGACUAUGCCAAAACCUUUGACUGUGUGGAUCACAAUAAACUGUGGAAAAUUCUGAAAGAGAUGGGAAUACCAGACCACCUGACCUUGAGAAAUGUAUAUGCAGGUCAGGAAGCAACAAUUAGAACUGGACAUGGAACAACAGACUGGUUCCAAAUAGGAAAAGGAGUACGUCAAGGCUGUAUAUUGUCACCCUGCUUAUUUAACUUAGAUGCAGAGUACAUCAUGAGAAACACUGGGCUGGAAGAAGCAUAAGCUGGAAUCAAGAUUGCCGGGAGAAAUAUCAAUAACCUCAGAU
ensembl:lncRNA